rnacentral:tRNA from 1 species
AUUCGGAUAGCUUAACUGGUAGAGCAUUUGGCACGUAACCAAAAGAUCCAGGUUCGAGUCCUGAUCUAGGCUAUCUGAAUU